CAGUAGCCACGGUAAAACGGAGGGAGCUAGCGUUGUUCGGAAUUACUGGGCGUAAAGCGCGCGUAGGCGGUUACUCAAGUCAGAGGUGAAAGCCCGGGGCUCAACCCCGGAACUGCCUUUGAAACUAGGUGACUAGAACCUUGGAGAGGUCAGUGGAAUUCCGAGUGUAGAGGUGAAAUUCGUAGAUAUUCAGAAGAACACCAGUGGCGAGGGCGACUGACUGGACAAGUAUUGACGCUGAGGUGCGAAAGCGUGGGGAGCAAACAGGAUUAGAUACCCCCGUAGUCCCUGUCUCUUAUAC
rnacentral:rRNA from 1 species